GUGUCAGCCGCCGCGGUAAUACCAGCUCCUCGAGUGGUUGGGACGAUUAUUGGGUCUAAAGCGUCCGUAGCCGGCCGGAAAAGUUCUCCGUUAAAUCCAACGAUUCAAUCGUUGGGCCGCGGGGAAUACUCUUCGGCUUGGGGGCGAGGGAGGUCGGCGGUAGUCUCGGGGUAGGGGCGAAAUCCUAUAAUCCCGAGAGGACCACCAGUGGCGAAGGCGGCCGACUAAAGCGCGCCCGACGGUGAGGGACGAAAGCUGGGGGAGCGAACGGGAUUAGAUACCCCGGUAGUCCCAGCUGUAAACGAUGCAGGCUAGGUGUUGGGACGGCCACGAGCUGUCCCAGUGCCGCAGGGAAGCCAUUAAGCCUGCCACCUGGGGAGUACGGUCGCAAGGCUGAAACUCAAAGGAAUUGGCGGGG
rnacentral:rRNA from 1 species